rnacentral:rRNA from 1 species
CCUACGGGAGGCAGCAGUGGGGAAUAUUGCACAAUGGGGGAAACCCUGAUGCAGCGACGCCGCGUGAGUGAAGAAGUAUUUCGGUAUGUAAAGCCCUAUCAGCAGGGAAGAAAAUGACGGUACCUGAUUAAGAAGCCCCGGCUAACUACGUGCCAGCAGCCGCGGUAUUACGUAGGGGGCAAGCGUUAUCCGGAUUUACUGGGUGGAAAGGGAGCGUAGACGGCAGCACAAGUCUGGAGUGAAAUGCCGGGGCUUAAACCCGGAACUGCUUUGGAAACUGUGCAGCUAGAGUGCAGGAGAGGUAAGUGGAAUUCCUAGUGUAGCGGUGAAAUGCGUAGAUAUUAGGAGGAACACCAGUGGCGAAGGCAGCAUACCGGCGCCCGACUGACGCUGAGGCACGAAAGCGUGGGGAUCGAACAGGAUUAGAUACCCCUGUAGUC